UGGCAAUGAUUACAUUUUAUCCGCGCUUCUGAGGUUUUUCUCGAUGAAGCAUAAAUGGAAAAUUAUUGGUUGAAUUUCUUGAUAUGAGCCA